AAGCAUAUGGUACUUACAGAGUGUCAUCCGUUACCCCGUAGUCCUUUUUCAUUCCGAUGUUAUUGAUUUCCAUUCACAAAUCUUUAAAUCAUAAAUGACUUCUUUGAAAGUUGUAACUUCCGGUGAUGUCGUUUCGGUCAACUUGUACAAUGUACGAAGCUUGUCGUGUUUUUUCUUCUCCCCGUUCUAAUUCGAUAUAAGAUAUAUCAUGUAUAAAAUAUAUCAUAUGUAUAUAUAUGAAGUCUUAUACACUGGGUUUCCACUGGUCGAUUGUAUAACUUUUUACUGAUCGUCUUUUGGUUACGUGUUGACCUGGGGACGAGUCAGUCAGUGUACGACCUGACGUUCACGCAAGUGAUCAAAGCGCUUUUUUUUCAAUGUUCCUUUCUGGGCGCGAAGUCAGGGAAAUAAUCGCAAGGAUGGAGAACAUUCAACAGAAUCAGUAUGCAAUCAAGCAUGGAAUGGAUUCCAGAUAGGAAUAUAGGAUUCACCUUACACUCAGAAACUGGGGGAUAGGCCUAGUUGUUCAAAAUACACGGCGUUGCUGCAUGGACUUGAAGAGAUAGUUAUGAAUUUAGAAUAUCAUCAAGUGACUUUUAAUAAGGCACUGUUUUCAGUGGAUGAACCGACAUCAUGCAGUGUGACAGGAAAACGCCCGUGAGACCAAAGAUGGCUUAGAUAAAAGGGAAGACGAUGCAGAAGCCUCUGUACCAGAGAAAAAUCCAGAGAUGGCCCUCAAAGAAGUUAGAAACAAGAUGAGAGACCGUCUCAAGUUGUUUAGGUCUGGAGCAGUGACCUUCCCCCACCCACGAGUCGAAGAAAUAGAUCUUUGAACCAGGUUACCCGUGACAUCAAGAUAAAUAAAAUUCAACU